CGUGAGAAGCAACCACCCAAUUCUCUUCGGUUUGUUCUGCUUUAUCAGCAACAUUUACUCCCUUUAGCUUCACCUUACAAUUCUUUUUGAUGUGUCCAGGCAAGUUACACCGAUAGCAUCGAAUAGUGCUUCUUUUCCCGUUGGCACUCUUUGGUGGCUCUCCCCCUUCAUCUUUUCUUCUCUCUCUUUCAUUCUUCUUCUCUGGUCUAUAGAUUUUCUUCUUUCCAGAGAAUAAGGCGUCACCUUGAAAGGAUAAGGAGACUUCGGCCAUUUGUUUUGCUAGAGACUCUUGAGAAGAGAGAAGAUUCUCAAACUCAACCUAGUGAGGGUUGAUUAGCCCACCCCUGAAUAGAAGUGACAAAAGGAAUAUAUUCUUUGUUUAAUCC
rnacentral:lncRNA from 1 species